GGCGCUGCUGACGGGCGGCACCGCCGGGGCCGGCUCCGGCCCGGUGCGGGCGGCCGAGCCGCCCGCCGCGCUCGGGCACGCGGCCCCGCCC
rnacentral:tRNA from 1 species